rnacentral:rRNA from 1 species
UCCUACGGGGGGCAGCAGUGGGGAAUAUUGCACAAUGGGCGAAAGCCUGAUGCAGCAACGCCGCGUGAAGGAAGACGGUUUUCGGAUUGUAAACUUCUGUUCUUAGUGAAGAAUAAUGACGGUAACUAAGGAGCAAGCCACGGCUAACUACGUGCCAGCAGCCGCGGUAAUACGUAGGGGGCAAGCGUUAUCCGGAUUUACUGGGUGUAAAGGGAGCGUAGACGGCAUGGCAAGUCUGAUGUGAAAACCCGGGGCUCAACCCCGGGACUGCAUUGGAAACUGUCAGGCUAGAGUGUCGGAGAGGG